UUGCAUGGUAUUCCUUUAUUAUCAAUAGCUGGGAAAACCAAGUUGUGUCGAAAGAUGUAGCCAUUUUUUAACAACUGCACAAGGGGCAUAAUGUGUAUCAAAAGAAUGGCCCGUAGACAAUGUAUGAUUUAGUCCUGAGCAUAGCACACGGCUAAAACUUGUAUUAGAAAAUCCCUGUAGCCCUUUUUUUUUUUUAGUCCCAAGCAAAUCAUACCAUCCACAUGCAUAUCUCUCGUAUACUUUCCAUAUUUGCAUGGUACUUCUUUGAAUUAUUAGGAGAGAAUAUCAACUUUCCAUAAGUUUAAACUUUCCAUACAUGAGCCUAAACUUUCCAUGAUUAGAUUCCAACUAGAACAAGGAUUUCUUUGUGUAAGUCCAUGUAGGAACCAGAUUUUGACAUCUAUAAAUACACCGCCUUCUCUUGGUGUUUGAGCGUCAAUUUGAAGCAUCGUCGAGCUGGUUCGACCCAUCUCUAUCAGGAACAUCGCAAUCACGAACGGCUUGCGGCGUCGGAAAGAAGACUCAUAGAGCUACGUCAUAUACGAAAACCACAAUCAAAUUGCUUCUAUAUUGGCUCAGGUCUUUGGGCGCAUCUAUACGACUUUAACUUUAAACAAAGAUGAUGCACUUUCGUGACCGCGAUACGCCACAUCCUCAUCUAGAGAUAGUGAGCGACAAACGAAAUUCGAACGCCAAAGUCCUUGCCUUGGAGGUUCAACCUCCAGUGAUCGGUGCCUUCUCACUUGACUGAGAGCUUUCUACGCUUCAUCUUGCCGAAUGGUCUAAAAAGGAGACCAAAGACGUCAUGAGCAACUUCUCAGGUAAGUCCACUGUUAUGGACGUCCCUCUGUUGAAGUCCGCAAUUCAUCGAGAAAUCGCGCCCACCGAAUCUUCUCAUCCCAAAGGAUGUUUCAGCAAUUGGAGUGUUCCAACUUCUGUAUUUGGUGAAGUUUGCUACUUGAGUUCUUGACAACAGGUCCAACGCACAAGCCGAAGACGACAAAGCAAUAGUGGCAGAGAGAUUGAUAUUCAAGAUCGGAUAAUUGGCCACAAGAUGAAGCUUCAUGAUAUUGAGGCACACCAUGCAAACUAGAUUAUCGUACUUCAAUCCAUAUCCAUCAUGCCAAAUUGAAGCGUCGUGCCGAUGGCACUGAUCCGUAUAGAACCAAGAAGCUUCGUGUAGUUCGCACCGUGGGCGUCAAUUCGUUCAGAGUCAAGAAGCUUCAUGCAGUUGGAAUCAUGGGCUCCAUCAUCCCUUUUUUUUCUUUUGCAGGUUUAUGAGGGAGUGCAAAUUGUCUCGAUAUCAUACCAAGAAGAUGCAAGAGGUGGUCGUUCGAUUGGCGAGGAACUACUUCGUGUGUCCCCUCUCGUGGCUCGGCGAGAAAAAGGCGUGGAGUGACCGUAUUAUAUCUUCGAAGAGUGAGCAACCAUAUUCCAUAAUUGGAGACACAUCGACCGUAUUCCAUCAUUGGCGGCACAUCGACCGUAUCCCAUCGUUGGAGACAUAUCUCACGUCGACUGUAUUUCAUCUUUGGCGAGCUAGCACAUGGCGCAUCUCCGCAAAUAUUUCUUGAUGUAGGAGCGAUGAAAUCAUAAGAUGCUUGUUUCUAAAAAUUUAGAUAGCGACAUGUAAAAAAAUCUACGUCAAAUUACUUAAGCACAAGCCAGAAUAAAUUUUUUGAAGUUGAACAAAACAUCUGCCGUUCUGAUUUUUCAGAUUUGACUGCUAUCGCCGAAAAAUUAAUAUCCCGAACUUGGAGCAUCCGAAUUGUUAGCCGUCUAUGCCUUUGGAAACUAAACUCAGAGAUCUGUAACUUAUAUAAAUCUCGUAGUAGAAAUCCUUCUAGAUUUGCUGCAGUAAUUUCUUAAAGUUGGUCCAGACGUUUGUCAUGUUUCCGUUUCAGCUUUGCGCACUCUCGCUGAAAAAUUCAUAUCCAGAGCCAGGAGUGUCCGAAUUGCAUUUCGCUUGAUGGAACAGAAUCAGAACUCAAUGAUUUACAAUAUGUCAAAAUUUUAGAUCAUAAUUCCUUCCAUACUAAUCAGAAUUAACUGCUUAAAUUGAUUUCUAACUUGUCGGUUUCACAGCUUUGUGCAGUCUCGCCGAAAAAUUCAUAUCCCGAGCUUGGAGCGUUUGAAUUGCGAGACGUCUAUCCCAUCGGAAGCCAAACUCAGAGAUCUGCAACUUGUAUAAAAUUUUUUUGGCAGAAAUGGUUCAAGAUUUGCCGCAGCAAUUUCAUGAAGUUGGUCCAUACGUCUGCCAUAUCGCUUGCUUUUAAACUUGUGCACUUGUUCCGUAAAAUUCAUAACUUGAGCUUAGAGAUUUUGAAUUAUGCACCGCUUGAUCCUCCGAAGCUCAAAAUAUAGGUGCUACAACUAUGCGGCUGAUGGAGACACAAUUCACAUUAGAUUCGACUUCACAAACUUUUUGUAGUGACGUCACCAUUUGAAGAAAUAAUGCUCACUUGAUAAAGGCACUUAAG